rnacentral:rRNA from 1 species
AUGGCGGAAUACCAUGCCGCAGCGUGGGCAGUCGGCGGUUGUGCUAUAUACGUGAGUGACAAACCUGAAAACCAUGACUUCGAUCUGCUGAGGAAGCUUGUGUUUCCUGACGGAUCGAUCCUGCGAGCCAAACUGCCCGGGAGACAAACAGCACUACCGUUGUCGCGGAAAUUCCGUGCGAUGGAAGCUUCUAGAGCCUGCUGGUACUUCCUAGCCAGAAGCCCCAUGAGCUCGACGUCUAGCCCUACAACCACCACCCCACGCACAAGCAGGUGCUAUGCUCUUGCUCACGUCUAG